GGAGUUAGCCGGUGCUUCUUCUGUGAGUGAUGUCCUUCCUGCCGGCUAUUAACCCGCAGGCCUUCUUCCUCACUGAAAGUGCUUUACAACCCGAAGGCCUUCUUCACACACGCGGCAUGGCUGGAUCAGGGUUGCCCCCAUUGUCCAAUAUUCCCCACUGCUGCCUCCCGUAGGAGUCUGGGCCGUGUCUCAGUCCCAGUGUGGCUGAUCAUCCUCUCAGACCAUCUACGGAUCGUCGCCUUGGUGAGCCGUUACCUCACCAACCAGCUAAUCCGACAUAGGCUCAUCCGAUAGCGCGAGGCCCGAAGGUCCCCCGCUUUCCCCCGUAGGGCGUAUGCGGUAUUAGCCUGGGUUUCCCCAGGUUAUCCCCCACUACCGGGCAGAUUCCUAUGCAUUACUCACCCGUCCGCCGCUCGCCACCAGGGAGCAAGCUCCCCGUGCUGCCGCUCGACUUGCAUGUGUUAGGCCUGCCGCCAGCGUUCAAUCUGAGCCAGAAUCGAACCCUGA
rnacentral:rRNA from 1 species